AGUGUCAAGGGAUGGGAAUCGAAUCCACGACCUUCCGCUUACCGGGCAGAUGCCAUGACCACUAGGCCACAUGACC
rnacentral:tRNA from 1 species